rnacentral:lncRNA from 1 species
AGAGAAGUGAGUCUGCAAGCAAGAUAUGUGACACACAUUCCUCCUAGGACAGAUGGGAAGUCGGUGGUUCACGGAGCACUCUUUGGAUGUUCACGAAGUACAACCACUAUGUUCCCUCAUCAAUCCUCCUGUGUACGCUAUUCUUUUAACAAUUUUGAUACGUCUAAUAUAAUAUCAGGAGUCGAGAUUGAAACGAAGAUUCGUACAAUCUCUAAAAUGCAGGACACGUGAACACGGGACACAAAUCUAUAUAUUAUAUAAUUUUGAGUUAUAUAAAUUGAAAAUAAAUAUUUAUGUGCAAAAAUGUGUUUUUGAUUCUUUUGGGAACAGAAAGAUAUGUUUUAUGACUG